GGCGUUGCCCAGACAACUAGGAUGUUGGCUUAGAAGCAGCCAUCAUUUAAAGAGUGCGUAAUAGCUCACUAGUCGAGUGACACUGCGCCGAAAAUGUACCGGGGCUAAACAUAUUACCGAAGCUGUGGAUUGUCCUUUGGACAAUGGUAGGAGAGCGUUCUAAGGGCGUUGAAGCAUGAUCGUAAGGACAUGUGGAGCGCUUAGAAGUGAGAAUGCCGGUGUGAGUAGCGAAAGACGGGUGAGAAUCCCGUCCACCGAUUGACUAAGGUUUCCAGAGGAAGGCUCGUCCGCUCUGGGUUAGUCGGGUCCUAAGCUGAGGCCGACAGGCGUAGGCGAUGGAUAACAGGUUGAUAUUCCUGUACCACCUAUAAUCGUUUUAAUCGAUGGGGGGACGCAGUAGGAUAGGCGAAGCGUGCGAUUGGAUUGCACGUCUAAGCAGUAAGGCUGAGUAUUAGGCAAAUCCGGUACUCAUUAAGGCUGAGCUGUGAUGGGGAGAAGACAUUGUGUCUUCGAGUCGUUGAUUUCACACUGCCGAGAAAAGCCUCUAGAUAGAAAAUAGGUGCCCGUACCGCAAACCGACACAGGUAGUCAAGAUGAGAAUUCUAAGGUGAGCGAGCGAACUCUCGUUAAGGAACUCGGCAAAAUGACCCCGUAACUUCGGGAGAAGGGGUGCUCUUUAGGGUUAACGCCCAGAAGAGCCGCAGUGAAUAGGCCCAAGCGACUGUUUAUCAAAAACACAGGUCUCUGCUAAACCGUAAGGUGAUGUAUAGGGGCUGACGCCUGCCCGGUGCUGGAAGGUUAAGAGGAGUGGUUAGCUUCUGCGAAGCUACGAAUCGAAGCCCCAGUAAACGGCGGCCGUAACUAUAACGGUCCUAAGGUAGCGAAAUUCCUUGUCGGGUAAGUUCCGACCCGCACGAAAGGCGUAACGAUUUGGGCACUGUCUCAACGAGAGACUCGGUGAAAUCAUAGUACCUGUGAAGAUGCAGGUUACCCGCGACAGGACGGAAAGACCCCGUGGAGCUUUACUGUAGCCUGAUAUUGAAAUUCGGCACAGCUUGUACAGGAUAGGUAGGAGCCUUUGAAACGUGAGCGCUAGCUUACGUGGAGGCGCUGGUGGGAUACUACCCUAGCUGUGUUGGCUUUCUAACCCGCACCACUUAUCGUGGUGGGAGACAGUGUCAGGCGGGCAGUUUGACUGGGGCGGUCGCCUCCUAAAAGGUAACGGAGGCGCUCAAAGGUUCCCUCAGAAUGGUUGGAAAUCAUUCAUAGAGUGUAAAGGCAUAAGGGAGCUUGACUGCGAGACCUACAAGUCGAGCAGGGUCGAAAGACGGACUUAGUGAUCCGGUGGUUCCGCAUGGAAGGGCCAUCGCUCAACGGAUAAAAGCUACCCCGGGGAUAACAGGCUUAUCUCCCCCAAGAGUUCACAUCGACGGGGAGGUUUGGCACCUCGAUGUCGGCUCAUCGCAUCCUGGGGCUGUAGUCGGUCCCAAGGGUUGGGCUGUUCGCCCAUUAAAGCGGUACGCGAGCUGGGUUCAGAACGUCGUGAGACAGUUCGGUCCCUAUCCGUCGUGGGCGUAGGAAAUUUGAGAGGAGCUGUCCUUAGUACGAGAGGACCGGGAUGGACAUACCUCUGGUGUACCAGUUGUCGUGCCAACGGCAUAGCUGGGUAGCUAUGUGUGGACGGGAUAAGUGCUGAAAGCAUCUAAGCAUGAAGCCCCCCUCAAGAUGAGAUUUCCCAACUUCGGUUAUAAGAUCCCUCAAAGAUGAUGAGGUUAAUAGGUUCGAGGUGGAAGCAUGGUGACAUGUGGAGCUGACGAAUACUAAUCGAUUGAAGACUUAAUCAA
rnacentral:rRNA from 1 species